UAAUCUGUAUGGGAUAAGAUCAUCAUCUAGCCAUGGCAAACCCAUAUUUGACUACUCAUGAUCACCUGUUAUCUCAGGCCGACGACAUCAUUCAUCCUCAAGUUUUGUUCCUCCUUUAAAUAAGAUGUCAAAUGUUGGACAUUGAAGACAUCAGAAG
rfam:Populus trichocarpa isolate Nisqually-1 chromosome 1, whole genome shotgun sequence.